GAGUGCUGAAACUGGUUGAAUAUUGGUGCUUUAAUUCAUGCAUGUAUUAACUGGUAGCCACCCUUUUCUGUGAUCAACCAUGACAAUCUCACUGUACUGAACACCUUUAGCAUUUCUAUUAAUUAGUUGACAAUUAUGAGAUAAAAAGUUUAAAACUUAGUUGAGCACUUAGCAUAAAGAAGCUUCCAACCUUCGCAAGAAUCCACACCUUCAAUGCCAUGUCAUGAUGAAGUUAAUUAUGGCCUUCAAAACAAACAAAAGAUUAAAGCACUCGUAUAUUAACCAGAUAGAUCAUAGACGAGAAAAAUAUAUCAAUAUUUAACAAAUUUCUUGUGCAAUGACUACAAUGAGCACCAGCAUCUCAAAUGUGAAGAUAGCAGCCAUCAUCAACUCCAAAGUAAUCAGGUUCAAUAAGAAACUGUUUCUUUUCCUCUGCCAAGAACAACAUCCAAGUGAGUGGAAAGCUUGUUCUUAGAUGUUACAAGCAAACCUAAAGGAAGAAAUGGCUGUCGAAUCCAACAAGAAUUUUUAUCUUAUGUGGUAUUGACUAAAGUACAGAAUGUCAGGCAAACAUGAUAGUCAAACAUAUAUAUAGUAACUGCUCAAACUAUCUCUUUCGAGUGAUGAAAAAAUUAGGGGUAAAGAAAGCUAAGCAAAACUGCUAAAAGUGGACAUGAUCAAUAUUUAUUAACAUGUCAAACACAGCUCGUGAACCUGCCCUGACACUACCGAUCCAGUAAUUUUCGUUGAGCCCAAAACCAUGUGAUCUAAAUUGCUUAGCCCUAGAAACCAACAAAAUCCUCCUCCCAAAUUUAACUCUAUUCAGAUUUGCUUUCAGCUUAUUUUUCUUAUGUUAUUCUCAACACAUUUGUUCUUUCUUCAAUCUCCGACCAGGUCUUAUGACAAGUGACACUAAUCAAAUAGAUGAAAAAGAAGGAAGCACAACAUAUCAACAACCAUACACAAGUAUAGUUACCCAUGACACCUAAGAUAUUGGUCCUUUGGUGUCAGAUGCUGCAAAAAUAACAUCAUGAAAAUAGAAAUAUGAGCAUGGCUAUUUAAUUACAGCAUAUACGUGACUAAAGCAUUUGAUUUGUUUCUAGCAACAGAGCUUUAGUUUGUUUCUGGGUGCAAAAAGUUAAUAUGCCGAUAUUAAAAGUUUUAGAACUUAAACUAAUCCUCAGAGGAGUCAGAAUUUAGACAAUAAAAUAGAGGGAUAAGAAAGCUAAAGACUAAAACAAAAUUUGACUAGACAAUUUUAAAAUGAUCAAAUUUUUCAAUGAAGAAAAUUGCCUAUGAGAUCAUUAGUCGAGUUUCUUAUGGUUUGUUAUCUCACCCUAUAUAGUUGAGAGAAACGAUAGAGGUCUUCUCCAAUAUCUGAUGAUAAUCAGAAAAUUGGCAUCAUAAACUAUGAAUGGUACUCUACUAUUUGUACCAGAUCUAAUGACAAAUGUCCUUCGAUAUCUAUUUAUUCUCAAGCCAUGGGACACACCAUCUUUUUUCCUUUGAGCCCAUAUGAAGUAAAGAUUAUGGGUUACAUAUGAAAGGGCAUGUCCAUCCAUAGUCUAUCUUGGACGGUCAAAGAUUGUGCUGCAUGACUACAGAAGAACAAUCAAAUUCAUGUCAAUUAAUUCAAGUAUCAAGCAUCCACGAAAGAGAAUUGAUACCACAAGAACCAUAUCUAAUUUCAAAACUAUGAUUAUAGUUCUCCCAGUAGAAAAAGAGCAAGCACAUAAAAUUCCAAUUAAAAAAAUAUACUAGGUCUAUAAUACGGCUCCCUGCUUUAGCAACCUAAACAAUUUCCCUGUCGUAAACUCAAUCUCUAUGUGAUCUUGCGAGUAAGCUGACAAGGGAUAAUUAAAGGUGAUAAUCUUAGAAGCAGAAACAUAGAAUAGAUGAGGAGAGCAAUCCUAUCGAAUCAUAGAAGAUCACUGCGGUUAGCAAGUAGCAGCAAAUCCUCGCCAACACUAAUUCAUGCAGUGAUCGGAGAACUAGCAAUUCAACAAGCACAUGGCAUUGUUCUCAAAUAAAGUAAAUCUAACUUGAAUUGUCAUUUCCAGGCCCUUAAAAGUUGAUGGUUUCCAUUAAUCUCAAAAAAGAAAAGAAAAUAAGUAUAAUAGCAAUCACCAGCAAGAAUGCGAGAUGGAAGUGAAGGAUGGCAACCUAGGCUAUUCGAGGGACCAGUAGAAGCAUUGGCCCCGAGGAUAGGAGUGCUGGUCUCCGGAAAAAUCACCUGCCGUGCUGCGUCUCCGCGAAGCUAUCUGCGCGCCAACAAAUGUAAGAAAAAUUCUCGUAAUCGCAAUUGACAUCAACAUCAGAGAAUGGGGAAAGAACAAGGAAAGGAAGAAGAAGAAGGGGGAGAUGAGCAUGUUGCGGAUGGUCUGGGAGACCACGAUGUGCUUCUUGUUGACCACGAACUCGAAACCCUCGGCAGUUAUCAGCUUCACCGUCUCCUCUUUCCCUCUGUGGUAUCUUCGCCCUCCACUCCGCUUCAUCGCC
rnacentral:lncRNA from 1 species